AUAUGGUAGGAGAGCGUUCUGUAAGCCUGCGAAGGUGUCUUGUAAAGGAUGCUGGAGGUAUCAGAAGUGCGAAUGCUGACAUGAGUAGCGAUAAUGGGAGUGAAAAGCUCCCACGCCGUAAGCCCAAGGUUUCCUGUUCAACGUUCAUCGGAGCAGGGUGAGUCGGCCCCUAAGGCGAGGCAGAGAUGCGUAGCUGAUGGGAAGCAGGUUAAUAUUCCUGCACCGUCGUAUGAUGCGAUGGGGGGACGGAUCGCGGAAGGUUGUCCAACGGUUGGAAGUGUUGGUUUUUGACUCAUAGAAGGCGCUUAGGCAAAUCCGGGCGCAGGAUUCAAGGGGUCGAGACGAGGAACUUAGGUUCUGAAGCAAUCGGAAGUGGUUCCAAGAAAAGCCUCUAAGCUUCAGUCAUACGAGACCGUACCGCAAACCGACACAGGUGGGCGAGAUGAGUAUUCUAAGGCGCUUGAGAGAACUCGGGAGAAGGAACUCGGCAAAUUGGUACCGUAACUUCGGGAAAAGGUACGCCCCGGUAGCUUGAUUGGUUUACUCCAUGAGGGUGAAAGGGUUGCAAUAAACUGGUGGCUGCGACUGUUUAAUAAAAACACAGCACUCUGCAAACACGAAAGUGGACGUAUAGGGUGUGACGCCUGCCCGGUGCUGGAAGAUUAAAUGAUGGGGUGCAAGCUCUUGAUUGAAGUCCCAGUAAACGGCGGCCGUAACUAUAACGGUCCUAAGGUAGCGAAAUUCCUUGUCGGGUAAGUUCCGACCUGCACGAAUGGCGUAACGAUGGCCACACUGUCUCCUCCCGAGACUCAGCGAAGUUGAAAUGUUUGUGAUGAUGCAAUCUACCCGCGGCUAGACGGAAAGACCCCAUGAACCUUUACUGUAGCUUUGCAUUGGACUUUGAACCAAUCUGUGUAGGAUAGGUGGGAGGCUUUGAAGCGGUGACGCCAGUCAUCGUGGAGCCAUCCUUGAAAUACCACCCUGGUUUGUUUGAGGUUCUAACCUUGGUCCGUUAUCCGGAUCGGGGACAGUGCAUGGUAGGCAGUUUGACUGGGGCGGUCUCCUCCUAAAGUGUAACGGAGGAGUUCGAAGGUACGCUAGAUACGGUCGGACAUCGUGUUGAUAGUGCAAUGGCAUAAGCGUGCUUAACUGCGAGACUGACAAGUCGAGCAGGUACGAAAGUAGGACAUAGUGAUCCGGUGGUUCUGUAUGGAAGGGCCAUCGCUCAACGGAUAAAAGGUACUCUGGGGAUAACAGGCUGAUUCCUCCCAAGAGUUCAUAUCGACGGGGGAGUUUGGCACCUCGAUGUCGGCUCAUCACAUCCUGGGGCUGUAGCCGGUCCCAAGGGUAUGGCUGUUCGCCAUUUAAAGUGGUACGUGAGCUGGGUUUAAAACGUCGUGAGACAGUUUGGUCCCUAUCUGCCGUGGGCGUUGGAAAUUUGAAGGGGGCUGCUCCUAGUACGAGAGGACCGGAGUGGACAGACCUCUGGUGUACCGGUUGUCACGCCAGUGGCAUUGCCGGGUAGCUAAGUCUGGAAGAGAUAACCGCUGAAAGCAUCUAAGCGGGAAACUUGCCUUGAGAUGAGAUUUCCCAGAGCCUUGAGCUCUUUAAAGGGUCGUUCGAGACCAGGACGUUGAUAGGUCAGGUGUGGAAGUGCAGUAAUGCAUUAAGCUAACUGAUACUAAUUGCCCGUACGGCUUGUCCCUAUAACCUUAGCAGGU
rnacentral:rRNA from 1 species